AUUGAACGCUGGCGGCAUGCCUUACACAUGCAGGUCGAACGGUAACAGGUCUUCGGAUGCUGACGAGUGGCGAACGGGUGAGUAAUACAUCGGAACGUGCCCGAGAGUGGGGGAUAACGAGGCGAAAGCUUUGCUAAUACCGCAUACGAUCUCAGGAUGAAAGCAGGGGACCGCAAGGCCUUGCGCUCACGGAGCGGCCGAUGGCAGAUUAGGUAGUUGGUGGGAUAAAAGCUUACCAAGCCGACGAUCUGUAGCUGGUCUGAGAGGACGCCCAGCCACACUGGGACUGAGACACGGCCCAGACUCCUACGGGAGGCAGCAGUGGGGAAUUUUGGACAAUGGGCGCAAGCCUGAUCCAGCCAUGCCGCGUGCAGGAUGAAGGCCUUCGGGUUGUAAACUGCUUUUGUACGGAACGAAAAGACUCUGGUUAAUACCUGGGGUCCAUGACGGUACCGUAAGAAUAAGCACCGGCUAACUACGUGCCAGCCGCCGCAGUAAGAC
rnacentral:rRNA from 1 species